rnacentral:ribozyme from 1 species
UUUUUUUUUUUUUUUUUUUUUUUUUUUUUUUUUUUUUUGA